rnacentral:rRNA from 1 species
GACGAACGCUGGCGGCGUGCUUAACACAUGCAAGUCGAACGGUAAGGCCCUUCGGGGUACACGAGUGGCGAACGGGUGAGUAACACGUGGGUGAUCUGCCCUGCACUUCGGGAUAAGCCUGGGAAACUGGGUCUAAUACCGGAUAGGACCCUGGGAUGCAUGUCCUGGGGUGGAAAGCUUUUGCGGUGUGGGAUGGGCCCGCGGCCUAUCAGCUUGUUGGUGGGGUGAUGGCCUACCAAGGCGACGACGGGUAGCCGGCCUGAGAGGGUGACCGGCCACACUGGGACUGAGAUACGGCCCAGACUCCUACGGGAGGCAGCAGUGGGGAAUACUGCACAAUGGGCGCAAGCCUGAUGCAGCAACGCCGCGUGAGGGAUGACGGCCUUCGGGUUGUAAACCUCUUUUAGUAGGGAAGAAGCGAAAGUGACGGUACCUGCAGAAAAAGCACCGGCUAACUACGUGCCAGCCGCCGCCGUAA